rnacentral:rRNA from 1 species
AUUGAACGCUGGCGGCAGGCCUAACACAUGCAAGUCGAGCGGAUGAGAGGAGCUUGCUCCUUGAUUCAGCGGCGGACGGGUGAGUAAUGCCUAGGAAUCUGCCUGGUAGUGGGGGAUAACGUUCCGAAAGGAACGCUAAUACCGCAUACGUCCUACGGGAGAAAGCAGGGGACCUUCGGGCCUUGCGCUAUCAGAUGAGCCUAGGUCGGAUUAGCUAGUUGGUGAGGUAAUGGCUCACCAAGGCGACGAUCCGUAACUGGUCUGAGAGGAUGAUCAGUCACACUGGAACUGAGACACGGUCCAGACUCCUACGGGAGGCAGCAGUGGGGAAUAUUGGACAAUGGGCGAAAGCCUGAUCCAGCCAUGCCGCGUGUGUGAAGAAGGUCUUCGGAUUGUAAAGCACUUUAAGUUGGGAGGAAGGGCAGUAAGUUAAUACCUUGCUGUUUUGACGUUACCAACAGAAUAAGCACCGGCUAACUUCGUGCCAGCAGCCGCGGUAAAAC